CCUACGGGGUGCAGCAGUGGGGAAUAUUGCACAAUGGGGGAAACCCUGAUGCAGCGACGCCGCGUGAAGGAAGAAGUAUUUCGGUAUGUAAACUUCUAUCAGCAGGGAAGAAAAUGACGGUACCUGACUAAGAAGCCCCGGCUAACUACGUGCCAGCAGCCGCGGUAAUACGUAGGGGGCGAGCGUUAUCCGGAUUUACUGGGUGUAAAGGGAGCGUAGGCGGCGAUGCAAGUCAGAAGUGAAAGCCCGGGGCUCAACGGCGAGACUGCUUUUGAAACUGUAUGGCUAGAUUGCAGGAGAGGCAAGUGGAAUUCCUGGUGUAGCGGUGAAAUGCGUAGAUAUUAGGAGGAACACCAGUGGCGAAGGCGGCUUGCUGGAUUGUAAAUGACGCUGAGGCUCGAAAGCGUGGGGAGCAAACAGGAUUAGAUACCCGGGUAGUC
rnacentral:rRNA from 1 species